AGGACACGCUGGCGGCGUGGAUUAGGCAUGCAAGUCGAACGGUAGAUCCUUUCGGGGAUCUGAGAGUGGCGAACGGGUGAGUAACACGUAGGUGAUCUACCCUCAAGACGGGACAACCCAGGGAAACUUGGGCUAAUACCGGAUGUGAGCUAUCGCGAGAUAGUUUGAAAGUGGCUUCGGCUGCCGCUUGAGGAUGAGCCUGCGUCCUAUUAGCUAGUUGGUGAGGUUAACGGCUCACCGAGGCAGUGAUAGGUAGGCGGCCUUAACGGGUGGUCGCCCACACUGGGAUUGAGAUACGGCCCAGACUCCUACGGGAGGCAGCAGUCGAGAAUAGUCUACAAUGGUCGAAAGACUGAUAGUGCGACGCCGCGUGAACGAAGAAGCCCUUCGGGGUGUAAAGUUCUUUUAUAUGUGAGCAGUGACACCCAUAUUAAUAGUAUGGGUGUAGAGAUAUUAGCAUAUGAAUAAGCAACGGCUAACUCCGUG
rnacentral:rRNA from 1 species